rnacentral:rRNA from 1 species
UACGAAGGGAGCUAGCGUUGUUCGGAAUCACUGGGCGUAAAGCGCACGUAGGCGGAUGUGUCAGUCAGGGGUGAAAUCCCGGAGCUCAACUUCGGAACUGCCUUUGAUACAGCACGUCUUGAGUCCGAUAGAGGUGGGUGGAAUUCCUAGUGUAGAGGUGAAAUUCGUAGAUAUUAGGAAGAACACCGGUGGCGAAGGCAGCUCGCUAAACGAUCAUUGACGCUGAGGCACGAAAGCGUGGGGAUCAAACAGG